rfam:Candidatus Lloydbacteria bacterium RIFCSPLOWO2_12_FTLL_51_9 rifcsplowo2_12_scaffold_27747, whole genome shotgun sequence.
GCCACCUUAGCUCAGCUGGUAGAGCGACCCCUUCGUAAGGGGUAGGUCCCGAGUUCGAAUCUCGGAGGUGGCU